UAUUAACCAACCAAAACGGUGAACCUCCGAAUGGCUCAUUAAAUCAGUUAUCGUUAAUUUGAUAGUACCUUCCUACUUGGAUACCUGUGGUAAUUCUAGAGCUAAUACAUGCUAAAAACCCUCAACUUCGGAAGGGGUGUAUUUAUUAGAUAAAAAGCCAAUGCCCUUCGGGGCUCCUUGGUGAUUCAUAAUAACUUAACGAAUCGCAUGGCCUUGCGCCGGCGAUGGUUCAUUCAAAUUUCUGCCCUAUCAACUUUCGAUGGUAGGAUAGUGGCCUACCAUGGUUUCUACGGGUAACGGGAGAUUAGGGUUUGACUCCGGAGAGGGAGCCUGAGAAACGGCUACCACAUCCAAGGAAGGCAGCAGGCGCGCAAAUUACCCAAUCCCGACACGGGGAGGUAGUGACAAUAAAUACUGAUACAGGGCUCUUUUGGGUCUUGUAAUUGGAAUGAGUACAAUUUAAAUCCCUUAACGAGGAACAAUUGGAGGGCAAGUCUGGUGCCAGCAGCCGCGGUAAUUCCAGCUCCAAUAGCGUUUAUUAAAGUUGUUGCAGUUAAAAAGCUCGUAGUUGAAACUUGGCCUUGGUUGACCGGUCCGCCUCACCGCGUGCACUGGUUCGGCCGGGGCUUUCCUUCUGGGGAUCCGCAUGGCCUUCAUUGGUCGUGCUGGGGAACCAGGACUUUUACUUUGAAAAAAUUAGAGUGUUCAAAGCAGGCCUAUGCUCGAAUACAUUAGCAUGGAAUAAUAGAAUAGGACGUGUGGUUCUAUUUUGUUGGUUUCUAGGACCGCCGUAAUGAUUAAUAGGGAUAGUCGGGGGCAUCAGCAAAUUCAGGAAAGGCACCACCAGGCGUGGAGCCUGCGGGUUAAUUUGAUUCAACACGGGGAAACUCACCGGGUCCGGACACRAUAAGGAUUGACAGAUUGAGAGYUCUUUCAUGAUUUUGUGGGUGGUGGUGCAUGGCCGUUCUUAGUUGGUGGAGUGAUUUGUCUGCUUAAUUGCGAUAACGAACGAGACCUUAACCUGCUAAAUAGCCAGGUCAGCUUUGGCUGGCCGCCGGCUUCUUAGAGGGACUAUCGGCUCAAGCCGAUGGAAGUUUGAGGCAAUAACAGGUCUGUGAUGCCCUUAGAUGUUCCGGGCCGCACGCGCGCUACACUGACAGAGACAACGAGUAACUCACCUUGGCCGGAAGGUCUGGGUAAUCUUGUUAAACUCUGUCGUGCUGGGGAUAGAGCAUUGCAAUUAUUGCUCUUCAACGAGGAAUGCCUAGUAAGCGCGAGUCAUCAGCUUGCGUUGAUUACGUCCCUGCCCUUUGUACACACCGCCCGUCGCUACUUCCGAUUGAAUCGCUCAGUGAGGCCUUCGGACUGGCCCCAGGAGGUCGGCAACGACCACCCAGGGCCGGAAAGUUCGUCAAACUUGGCCAUUUAGAGGAAG
rnacentral:rRNA from 1 species